GACGAACGCUGGCGGCGUGCUUAACACAUGCAAGUCGAACGGAAAGGCCCUGCUCUUGUGGGGUGCUUGAGUGGCGAACGGGUGAGUAACACGUGAGUAACCUGCCCUUGACUUUGGGAUAACUCCAGGAAACUGGGGCUAAUAUCGGAUAGGAGCUCCUGCUGCAUGGUGGGGGUUGGAAAGUUUCGGCGGUUGGGGAUGGACUCGCGGCUUAUCAGCUUGUUGGUGGGGUAGUGGCGUACCAAGCCUUCGACGGGUAGCCGGCCUGAGAGGGUGGCCGGCGACAUUGGGACUGAGGGACGGCGCAGACUCCUACGGGAGGCAGCGGUGGGGAAUAUUGCACAGUGGGCGGAAGCCUGAUGCGGCGGCGCCGCGUGCGGGAUGACGGGCUUCGGGUUGUAAACCGCUUUCGCCUGUGACGAAGCGUGAGUGACGGUAAUGGGUAAAGAAGCACCGGCUAACUACGUG
rnacentral:rRNA from 1 species